GGUCAGCUGACACAUCCCUGCCAAUCUACGGCAGACCCUCCCUCCCAGAUCCUCCUACUUCCUGGACAGCAUCCAUGUUGAAGGCAGCUUCAACAUGGAUGCUGUCCAGGAGGUGGGAGGGACUGGGAGGGAGGGUCUGCCGGAGAUUGGCAGGGAUGUGUCAGCUG
rnacentral:miRNA from 1 species